UACAGGGGGGGCAAGCGUUAUUCUUUUUAAUUUUGGCGUAAAGGGUACGUAGGUGGAUUUGCGGGUAUUGUGUUAAAUUCUUGUUCAAUUUAUUUAGUCAAGUAGGCUCAAUAUACUAAAAAUCUAGAGUUAAUUGAGGGUAGUUAGAAUUUUUAAAGGAGGGGUGAAAUCCGUCGAUAUUAAAAAGAAUACUCGCAGCGAAGGCAUACUACCACUCUUAACUGACACUAAGGUACGAAGGUGUGGGGAGCAAACAGG
rnacentral:rRNA from 1 species